rnacentral:misc_RNA from 1 species
AACGCACGAGACCUGCGGACCUGCGGAAGGAUCAUUACCGAGUUUUCAACUCCCAAACCCCAUGUGAACUUAUACCAUUUACACCGUUGCUUCGGCGGGUUCUCGCCCCGGGCUUUACAACCCCGGAACCAGGCGGCCCGCCGGGGGACCCAAACUCUAGAUUUUAUUUUAGCAUGUCUGAGUGGAAUCAUUACAAAAUGAAUCAAAACUUUUAGCAAUGGAUCUCUAGAUCGGAAGAGC